UGGCUUAAACCGAAGCAAGUACAAUUAACAUAAUAAUUAGUUUACCUAAACCGAUCAAAUCACAGCGAAAGUCAAGUGUCACAAGUGGAGGCUCAUGAACCCAAUGGAAUCUUAGCUGGAGCUCGUCGAGCCCUGCUUGUUGGGUUCGACGUAGGAGUCAUUCUCGAAUGUUUAGAGGAGGAUGCGUUAGGUGGUCUUGUAAAACAAGUUUCUGCUCAUAAAUCCAUUUGAGGGGUUUAGAGAAGUCUUUAAAGAGGUGGGUUUACAAAUAGACGCUCAGAAACACAAAGCCAGCUAGAGCUGGUCAUUCUACAAGAUACUAAAUUCAACGAAAAUCGGAAAAAAAAAGUACUGGAAGUUACCUAGCUAUCAUAAAUGCCGAGCUUGUUGUCCGUCUCAUUGAUGAUGUCUGUUUCCUGCUGCUGGUUUGAUCUAGUUUUGGGGCCUUAGUUCGGUGCAUGCGAGCACUUGCAAAGUGGAUCGGGAGGAUCCCAUGUCCAAAUUGCUUGGGAGCGACCAAGAAGCAUUGAGUUUGGCCACUAGAUUUGCUGCUUCAUUACCAACUCGAUUCAUCUAGCCCAGAUUUGAAGCAAAAGAGACUGCCUAGCGGAGAGUUCACACUUAUGGAUCUAUGGAGUAAGUUCCCAUCCGGAUCUUUUGUCAUGAUUCUAGCUGUCACCUUGGUGGUCCUGUUGUCAAAAUCUAUGUCCGAGUUUCAUUUCAUGUAACCUUGUAGAGGUUUUCCCCACUCCUGAAAUCACUGAUCCUAAGAGUCUCAGGUAUCUUCUGAGGUUUGUUCUCUAUUGACUUCUUUGAAUUCUUUCUAACCCAGUCUAAACUUUUCCAUAACUUUGAGGGAGUUGGGUUCAACCCCUCUGAAUGAGUUUUGAUUUUGUGCCUUCCAAAUAUUCCAAAGCAUGGACCCAAGCAUAGACAACGCAAACUUGAAGAAUUCCCCGUCCCUUCUUAGGUUAUCCGGGAUCUUAAUAAACCAAUGAUCAAUGCUCAUAGUUCUGUAACUGAAUACAUACAUAUAUGAUAGCUAUUCUCCAAGUGUAGAAAAUCUAUCAAAGUAAUAAAAAUAUCGAACACGAGAAUUGUUGGUGCCUAGUACCAAUUUUCACUAAUUUGGUUAUUGAAAAGACGUUUAAUGUCUGA